rnacentral:tRNA from 3 species
CGGGGUGUAGCGUAGUCUGGUAGCGCGCUUGCUUUGGGAGCAAGAUGUCGGGAGUUCGAAUCUCUCCACCCCGACCA